CUGGAGGGGAGAGUGGCGAACGGGUGAGUAACACGUACGUGACCUGCCUCGAAGACGAGGAUAACCGCUGGAAACGGUGGCUAAUACUCGAUGGUCUCGAUAAUUCGGUAUAUCGAGUAAAGGCUCUGGCGCUUUGAGAGGGACCUGCGGACCAUCAGCUAGUUGGUAGGGUAACGGCCUACCAAGGCGAAGACGGGUAGGGGGCGUGAGAGCGUGACCCCCCACACUGGCACUGUGGACACGGUGCCAGACUCCUACGGGAGGCAGCAGCGCGGAAUAUCGCGCAAUGAGCGAACAGCUAGACGCAGCAACGCCGCGUGGGUCGAUGAAGGCCUUCGGGUCGUAAAAUCCUUUUCUGAGGUAACAGUAAGGACGGUACCCCAGGAAUAAGCCUCGGCUAACUAUGUGCCAGCAGCCGCGGUAAUACAUCGGAGGCAAGCGUUAUCCGGAUUUACUGGGCGUCAAGAGCGUUCAGGCUGGCUUCGUAAGUUGGACGUGAAAAGCUCCCGGCUUAACUGGGACAGGCCGUUCAAUACUGCGGGGCUUGAGGGCAGCAGAGGGGGGUGGAAAUUCCCGGUGUCGUGGUGAAAUGCGUCGAUAUCGCAACGAACACCAGUGGCGACAGGCGGUCCCCUGGGCUGCUCCUGACGCUGAAAGGCGAUAGCUUAGGGAAGCGAACGGGAUUAGAAACCCCGGUAGUCCUAGCCGUCAACGAUGGAUACUAGGUGUAGGAGGUUCAAAUUCCUUCUGUGCCGGAGCUAACGCGUUAAGUUUAUCCCGCCUGGGGAGAUCGGUCGCAAGGCUCUAACUCCAAGGAAUUGACGGGGGCCCGCACAAGCAGCGGAGCGUGUGGUUUAAUUCGAUGCAACACGAAGAACCUUACCUGGGCUUGACAUGUAGGUAGUAGUGAAGCGAAAGCGGAACGAUCCUUCGGGAAGCCUACACAGGUGCUGCAUGGCUGUCGUCAGCUCGUGCCGUGAGGUGUUAGGUUAAGUCCUGUAACGAGCGCAACCCCUGCCGUUAGUUACAAGUGUCUAACGGGACUGCCCGGCAAAACUGGGAGGAAGGUGGGGAUGACGUCAAGUCAGCAUGGCCUUUAUGUCCUGGGCUACACACACGCUACAAUGGC
rnacentral:rRNA from 1 species